UACGAAUGGGGCAAGCGUUGUUCGGAAUCACUGGGCUUAAAGCGUGCGUAGGCGGCUAUGAAAGUCAGGAGUGAAAUCCCAGGGCUUAACCCUGGAAUUGCUUUUGAAACUCCAUAGCUAGAAUCCGGGAGAGGUUAGCAGAAUUCCGAGUGUAGAGGUGAAAUUCGCAGAUAUUCGGAGGAAUACCAGUGGCGUAGGCGGCUAACUGGACCGGCAUUGACGCUGAGGUACGAAAGCGUGGGUAGCAAACAGG
rnacentral:rRNA from 1 species